rnacentral:rRNA from 1 species
CCGUAAAACACCGGUUCCCGUACGAUCACCGAAGUUAAGCAACGUCGAGCUUGGUCAGUACCUAGAUGGAUGACCGCUUGGGAAUACCAGGUGCUGUAAG